rnacentral:rRNA from 1 species
AUUGAACGCUGGCGGCAGGCCUAACACAUGCAAGUCGAGCGAGCGGCGGACGGGUGUGUAAUGUAUGGGGACUGCCCGAUAGCGGGGGAUAACUACUGGAAACGGUAGCUAAUACCGCAUCCUCUCGGCUAACCCCUAUGGGAUUAGCUAGUGGGUGGGGUAAUGGCUCACCUAGGCGACGAUCCCUAGCUGGUCUGAGAGGAUGAUCAGCAACACGGGGACUGAGACACGGCCCAGACUCCUACGGAGGCAGCAGUGGGGAAGAUUGCACAAGGGGGGCAAGCCGGAGGCAGCAAGGCCGCGUGUAGGAAGAAGGCCCUAGGGUGGAAAAGUACGUUCAGUCGGGAGGCGUUACCGAAAGAAGAAGCACCGGCUAACUCCGUGCCAGCAGCCGCGGUAAUAC